rnacentral:rRNA from 1 species
CCCUUAGAUGUUCUGGGCUGCACGCGUGCUACACUGAUUACUUCAACAAGUGUUUUAACUGGAGAGUUCGCGUAAUCCUGAAAUGUUAUCGUGAUGGGAGUAGAGUAUUGUAUUUGUUAAUCUUUAACGAGGAAUUCCUAGUAAGUGUAGGUUUAUAAGUUGUUCUGAUUACGUCCCUGCCCUUUGUACACACCGCCCGUCGCUCCUACCGAUUGAUUGAUCCGGUGAAUUACAUAGAAUUUUGCGUUUUACAUGACGGAAGAUGAAGUGUUUUAAACCUCAUCAUUUAGAGGAAGGAGAAGUCGUAACA